CAGAGCAAGAGGGCGGAUGUAGCCAAGUGGAUCA
rnacentral:tRNA from 4 species